UCCUGAGUGGUGAAGCUGACUUGAAGCUGAAAGGGCAACUUCUCAAUCGCCUGGACAGCUAAAGGAAUUAAAAGAGAUUCACACAGUCUGAGUCACAAGAGGCCAAGUAACUGGAACAUCACAUCAAACACAAUGUAUGGAACUUAAUUUCACCUCCACCUAUGAAGGGUGACCAGAACUGGACACAGUAAUCCGGAAGAGGCCUCACCUAUGUCCUGAACAAUCCCAACAUCACCUACCUCUCUCCAAUAAACCCAAGUGGAAUAUUCUGUAACAAUGAAGGUGACAGAGGGACAGGAAUAUGAGAUGCCUGAGGUUUUGCUGAUGUCCUUGGAAC